CCUACGGGAGGCAGCAGUGGGGAAUUUUGGACAAUGGGCGAAAGCCUGAUCCAGCCAUGCCGCGUGCAGGAUGAAGGCCUUCGGGUUGUAAACUGCUUUUGUACGGAACGAAAAGGUCUUUUCUAAUAAAGAAGGCUCAUGACGGUACCGUAAGAAUAAGCACCGGCUAACUACGUGCCAGCAGCCGCGGUAAUACGUAGGGUGCGAGCGUUAAUCGGAAUUACUGGGCGUAAAGCGUGCGCAGGCGGUUAUAUAAGACAGUUGUGAAAUCCCCGGGCUCAACCUGGGAACUGCAUCUGUGACUGUAUAGCUAGAGUACGGUAGAGGGGGAUGGAAUUCCGCGUGUAGCAGUGAAAUGCGUAGAUAUGCGGAGGAACACCGAUGGCGAAGGCAAUCCCCUGGACCUGUACUGACGCUCAUGCACGAAAGCGUGGGGAGCAAACAGGAUUAGAUACCCUGGUAGUCCACGCCCUAAACGAUGUCAACUGGUUGUUGGGUCUUCACUGACUCAGUAACGAAGCUAACGCGNGAGUAGACGCCGNGGAGGACGGCGCGAGUAGUUAAGUUAAAUAGUUAAGUUAGAGNGNGNGAGNGCGAGACGACGACGAGGAGGAGG
rnacentral:rRNA from 1 species